AGUCGUUCGUCAACCAGCAAGGGGCACCAGGACGAAGCUGUCACAGUGAUGGAGCCCUACCUAAGCGGGUUGUAGUGGAAAAGUGCAAAGAUUACACCCAAAAUCGCUCUCUACAGACCCUCAUUGACAUAUCAGCCAAAGCCAGGAAAAAACACCAGCGGAAUCCUGUCUCAGCAGAGAUUUGUCGAAGGUGGGAAAGCACCACGGAAGGGCCUUUUUGUUGCACA